rnacentral:miRNA from 1 species
CAAAGACGUUAGAAACAGG